CCUUUUCCCGCAAGGGAGAGGGAGUGGCGGACGGGUGAGGAAGACGUGGGUAAUCUGCCCUGAGGUGAGGAAUACCGGCGAGAAAUCGUCGACAAGACCGCAUAGGUUUCUUCUGUGAGGAAGAAACAAAGCUGCGCAAGCAGCGCCACAGGAUGAGCCCGCGGCCGAUUAGCUGGUUGGUGAGGUAACGGCCCACCAAGGCGACGAUCGGUAGCUGGUCUGAGAGGAUGAGCAGCCACACUGGGAUUGAGAACGGCCCAGACUCCUACGGGAGGCGGCAGUGAGGGAUUUUCGGCAAUGGGCGCAAGCCUGACCGAGCAACGCCGCGUGCAGGAGGAAGCUCUGCGGA
rnacentral:rRNA from 1 species